AUUGAACGCUGGCGGCAUGCUUUACACAUGCAAGUCGAACGGUAACAGGCCGCAAGGCGCUGACGAGUGGCGAACGGGUGAGUAAUGCAUCGGAACGUGCCCAGUCGUGGGGGAUAACGCAGCGAAAGUUGCGCUAAUACCGCAUACGAUCUAUGGAUGAAAGCGGGGGACCGUAAGGCCUCGCGCGAUUGGAGCGGCCGAUGUCAGAUUAGGUAGUUGGUGGGGUAAAGGCUCACCAAGCCGACGAUCUGUAGCUGGUCUGAGAGGAUGAUCCGCCACACUGGGACUGAGACACGGCCCAGACUCCUACGGGAGGCAGCAGUGGGGAAUAUUGGAUAAUGGGCGAAAGCCUGAUCCAGCAAUACCGCGUGUGUGAAGAAGGCCUUAGGGUUGUAAAGCACUUUCAAUUGGAAGGAAAACCUCGAAGCUAAUACCUUCGAGUUUGACAUUACCUUUAGAAGAAGCACCGGCUAACUCCGUGCCAGCCGCCGCGGUAACAC
rnacentral:rRNA from 1 species